rnacentral:rRNA from 1 species
ACGUAGGGGGCAAGCGUUGUCCGGAAUUACUGGGCGUAAAGCGCACGCAGGCUGAAUUAUAAGUCGGUAGUCAAAUACGGAGGCUCAACUUCCGUCUAUCUAUCGAUACUGUAAAGCUAGAGUAUGGGAGAGGGGAGCGGAAUUCCCGGUGUAGCAGUGAAAUGCGGUAAUAUCUGGAGGAACACCAGUGGCGAAGGCGGCUUCCUGGGACAGUUCUGACACUGAGGAGCGAAAGCUAGGGGAGCAAACGG